rnacentral:tRNA from 1 species
GGUAAGGUAGCUUAAUUGGUCAAAGCCUAAGGGCUGAAACCCCUUAUGUAUGGUGUGUUCGACUCCACCCCUUACCA